UACGAAGGGUGCAAACGUUGCUCGGAAUUAUUGGGCGUAAAGCGCACGUAGGCGGCCUUGUAAGUCGGAUGUGAAAUCCCUCGGCUUAACCGAGGACGUGCAUCCGAAACUGUGAGGCUCGAGUAUGGAAGAGGGUCGCAGAAUUCCCGGUGUAGAGGUGAAAUUCGUAGAUAUCGGGAGGAAUACCAGUGGCGAAGGCGGCGACCUAGGCCAAUACUGACGCUGAGGUGCGAAAGCGUGGGGAGCAAACAGG
rnacentral:rRNA from 1 species